rnacentral:rRNA from 1 species
GUUGAACGCUGGCGGCAUGCUCUACACAUGCAAGUCGCACGGUAACAGGUCUUCGGAUGCUGACGAGUGGCGAACGGGUGCGUAAUGCAUCGGAACGUGCCCAGUCGUGGGGGAUAACGCAGCGAAAGCUGCGCUAAUACCGCAUACGAUCUAUGGAUGAAAGCGGGGGACCGUAGGGCCUCGCGCGAUUGGAGCGACCGAUGUCAGAUUAGGUAGUUGGUGGGGUACAGGCCCACCAAGCCAACGAUCUGUAGCUGGUCUGAGAGGACGGCCAGCCGCACUGGGACUGAGACACGGACGAGACGCCGACUGGAGGCAGCAAUGGGGGAGUUUGGACAAUGGGCGCAAGCCUGAUCCAGCAAUGCCGCGUGCAGGAAGAAGGCCUUCGGGUUGUAAACUGCUUUUGUACGGAACGAAACGGCACUCUCUAAUACAGAGGGCUAAUGACGGUGCCGUAAGAAUAAGCACCGGCUAACUACGUGCCAGCAGCCGCCGUAAAAC